UAAACCCAGCACAAUCAAAAUAUUAUUCCAAUCUGCAACACCUUUAAAAAUUGUUAGCUCCCGCAGCUGUGAGGAGGCCGCCAAGGUUGUACCUUGCAUCGACACCCAGACUUGCCAGUGAUAAGAGUCACCCAGAUGGUACUGGUUUUGAAAACACGAAGGGGUCACUGAGCAGCAGAGGCUUGGCAGGCACUGUGAGAGGCCAGGAGAGGCCACUGUGUUGAAGGUGCAGUUGAAUGCCUAGUACUGGAGUGGCCAUACAGAGAGGUUGAGGCUGCGACAUGAAGAAAGCCUGCGAGAAGCUAUUGGUGAAAGUGUCGCCCCAUUGAACUAAAAGGCUCCAUCAUUAUGGAGAUUCCAGUACCAUGGGAGGACCACCCAGAAGAGCGACAGCAUCGGGGUGGAGUCUGCUUGAGCUCAGAAGAAAAGCUGUGCCUGCCGCAGAGGGUGGAGCCAGGUAGGUGAGCCAGGCCCUUUAAGGCGCCCAGAAGACCCUGAGUGAAUCUCAGAUGAUCAGACAUAAAGUUCUUUUCCACUUUUGGAGUUUGGUUUUUCUUUGUUCUUAUUGUGACUCUGUCCUGGUGCAUCCCUUUUGAGUCCUCACCUUCAGUUGACGGAUGGUCACCCGUGAGUGCAUGCCCACAGGAGAAGACAGGCCUAAGCCAUCAAACUGCGGCUCCUUCUUUGGCGGUGUCACAGAGAAUUGCUCCUGAGUGUGUGCUCAAGUACACCCACCCAUGUCAGUUGCUCCUGAAUAAAUCCACAAGCACAGGAGUGUCAGCUGAUGACCUCACUUCCUGUUCAUCUCAUCUCCUAGGUGCCGAUGAUCUCACUUCCUCUGACCCUCUCACUUCCUUGGUUCCUUUCCUUACCUCUUUUCUCACUGCAGGUAUCUUUGUAAUUAAAUCUUGUUUAAAAUUCAAAUGUCUUCUUCAGUAAUUGUGAAAAUCAAUGCUAUUACUUUAACAAUUUUUUAAAUAUAUACAUCUAUAUCAGGUAAAGAUAUUAACACGUAAAUUGCUAGUGAUGCUACAGUUUCAGGACAUAAGGAAAAGGCUGGAUGUGGGCAUAUAAAGAUUUUGUAGUGAAUCAGUCCACUGUUGUGUAUUUAUCCUUGAGGAGCAAACUUUAAAUUCCUGUCACUCUGAGGUCUGUUGUCUUGGACUUGCUAAAACCUUUUAAGAAGCAUUGGCUAUGUUCGUUUACAGAAAUAUCUAGGUGCCAUUUGUUUAUGGAACAUUAUAUUACAUUUGUAGGUUUUUAAUCUUAUUGAAGAAAUAUUUUGAAUUUUCCACUGAUAAAAAUACAUAAUUAAUGCAUAAACUAACCCUAAGGCUAUUAUCUAAAUAGUUUAAAUAUUGGUGAAGUAUUUUCUGAAUGCAGCAUUGUGUUUGGGCAUAAAUAACAAUGGUUUUGAGUGAGACACAGGAGGAAAUUAUGAAGAUAUUAACAGAAAUUCUUUAAAAGCAGUCGUGACCUCAUGCAUGUUUAUGGGGGAUGCAGCAAUUUGCUGUGAUUCAAGAUGAGGCCAUCUUUCUCUGCCAUUUAUUGUUUCUCCUUGAAUACUCUACCAGCAUGGCAGAAUACUAAUCUACAGACCCUUGGUAGCAGAGGGCAGGUACAGGGGCUAUUUAUCUAGCACCUUUGGAGUAACAGCAAUGCAAUUCUUAGAUGCUGGGACACCUGCCUCCUAAGUUCAAACUCAACUUCAUUGGCCAAUUAUAAACAGCAAAUACAAACAAAACAAACCAAUGAACAAUGGGGCUUAGGAAAAGGUAUUUGUGGACUGCCCAUGCAUAGUAGGGUCUUUUCUCCUUUUCAGGGAACAAUUCUAUGAUGAAUCAAUGUUUAUAUAGAGUUCUUCUUAAAACAUUUUUCCAUGUCCAGAUGAAAAUCCUACUACAAUUGUGUUUUUGAUAAUAUCAUUAGCUGUAUGCAAGGCACAAUAGAACUUUCCAUUUCUUCUCUUCACUGAAUAAAUGAUCCCUUGAAU